rnacentral:lncRNA from 1 species
GUGUCUAGGUUGAUCUUUGAGCCGAUAGUAUGCUAUAGUAGAUAUUGGAUAUUUUGUUGGACUAACCCCUGUAGGAAAACUUUCAAUAUCGACCUGGGAAGUCCUGAGAUAAACUCACAUUGGAGACAAAGAGAGAGACACAUGAAGUUUAACAAUUUGCACGAGGAAGGCAUAGCUCACAAGAGAUGAUCCAUGGAGGGUGCCACAAACACGAUGCACAACCGCUAAGAGAGGAAAGCUUCCACAAGGUGAUACUGAACCAUCACUCUUCAAGUAAGGUAACAUCUUAAGGUACUUGACUAUCACUUUUAUAAGCUUCUCCUUGGUUCUGGCGUUCACAUGAAUAAAAGAGACAAACAUGUAUGAUUUACAAUUCUGGAUUAACCAACCCAAUCGAUUCAAUAUGUUUAGUCCUUUCACCUUUGUGAUCCCACACUAAAUGUUGCACACACAAUCUUUGGAAGAUAUAUAUAAAAAAAAGAGAUAAGUAUAGAUAGAUUAUCUUUCCAUUAGGUUGAGUGAUCUGAUCUGGCGAAUGUUUUAAAUGCUACACUCAUGAUCUUAUUAUCCAUCAACUUUGUCUUGCUCACUAUGCUUAAGGUUAGAGAAGAACAAAUACACUUUUGGUUCUGUUGGUGUUUUCCACCAACAGGGCCCAUGCACUUGAUCUCUGCCUUGUCUCUAUGAGCAUGUACACUUCGAGCAAAAUAUGAAGGAGUUUUACAACUCCCAGACUCCACCAAGUGAAGAACCUAGAUAUACGAGCACAAACACACUGGAGAUACUGGACACUAUGGCAAUCACUGCCCUGAGAUGCUUGAGGACGUAACUACUGGAGUAACCCCGCUGUGGAAGUAAUUACUGACCUUCUGCCGGUCAAGAGAGACAAUCCAGGACGCCCCGUCAUCCCGAUCUCUAUCGGCAUGGUGGACUUCCUAGAAGCACUCUACGACUUUGGCUCCAGUGUCAACAUUAUGCCCAGGGUACUCUAUGAAAAAAUCUUUACACAUCCUUUACUAGAAACAACCAUGUGUUUGCAGCUUGCAGAUCGUACGCUAAGUUUCCCAAAGGGAAUAUUGAAGAACCUCUGCGUCCGAGUUGGUACCUUGUACGCCCGAGCAGACUUCAUGGUGAUAGAGACUGGUACUGAUGAGAGGGCACCCAUCAUCCUAGGGAUGCCAUUCCUGAACACCUCGGGAGCUGUCAUCUACGCUAGUGCUGCCAAGAUCAGUUUCUACAUCAAGGGGAAGAAGGAGACGUUUUCCUUCAAGAAACAAGACUACACAAAUCCCAGAGCAAUCCCGACAUGAACCAAGGAAGAGGACCAACAGGAGGAACAGGAACAAGCAAAUGUGGACCAAGUCAGCAAAGAUUGUCACUGCAGUUCAAGGAGGUCAAGAUCGUCGACUUAAGUCACCGUUCCUAACCAAAAAGGACGACCCAAGUAUGCCAAGCAUCCAGUGCUCCAUUGAUGGAUACAACUUCUAGAAGAUGCUUUGCGACACCGGGUCAGGCGUCAACAUAAUGGCUGCAGUCACUUAUCAGCUCCUGCAUGGAACCAUGCCCCUACAACCGACAUACAUUCAGCUCCAGAUGGCAGAUCAGACAUUCCGUAAGGUUAUUGUCAUGGGAGAAGACGAGUACAAUCCACCCGUCAUCCUUGGAAGACCGUUCCUCAGCACCGUUAAAGCAAUCAUCUACAUUGGAACCGGAGAAGUCCACAUGAACUUCCCCUCUGAGAAGGUACGCCGCUAUUUUACUGACCCUAACUAUAUAGUUGAAGACUCUAAGCAGGUCAGGACAAGAAGACGACGACACAGCCACAACCAGAGGAGGCUAAUCAUCAAGGACGGAUGGGUAGACUACGAAGGAGAAGUGGUAAGAUCUGAAGACAUACAACUUGAACAGAACUGUCCUGAGGAGACCGUAGCACCGAGGCAGGUGUGGAGAAAGAAGACAGUUAUACAUGAAGAGUACACGCCGCCGGAACCACCGACUACGCCAUCCAGCAAAUCCCAGGACGACUGAGAAAACGGAGAGUCCCGUUCGGAGGACUUAAAAACACCGAACGCCUUGCCAAGAGGUAAACUUGGUAGUUAUCUUUUUCCUUUCAAUUAUUUUAAAAUAGUUUUCUUAGUUAAUAAAGUUCAUAUCAUCUUGAAAAGAAAAUAAAAAUGUAAAAAUAGUAAGCCCCAUGUGAGUAUGCUCAUGGCAUAAAACCCAUAAGUACAUUCACUGUGGUGGCAUAAAAAUAAAAUAAAUAUAUUCAUGUCCUAUAAAAAUAAAAUUAUAAAAAUAAAUUUAUGAUCCUACUAAAGAGAGUAACAUUUAUUGACGAGGCUCAACAUGAUAAAGGCUAGAUACUUAUGCUAACAAUUAACUAGUUCCACAAAGUUUUGUUGUCUAUUUGAGCUCCACAGAAUUCAAGGAUCAAAGAAGACUAGCAGACGGAGGACAUCCUAAUCGCUGUCAGGGUGUUGCCGACAUUCAAAUACACCUCCGCCACCUGCUAGUCACAUCAGAAGAAAUUACGUAAAAAUCCAGCUUGGGGGAGAGCACCCCCAUUUAUCCAGCUAAGUAUUCUACUCACGUUUAUACUUUACUCUAAUAAUAAAAAGAUGCAUAAUCAUAAAAACCUAAAUAAAGAUUUUGUGCUUAUAUAUAUAUCUUUGCUUAGCUUGCUAAAUAAAUAAAUAAAUAAAGUUUGCUAUGAACCCUCGUGAUAAGCUCUCAUAUGGAAAUGAUGAAUAGUUGCUCUACCAUGACUAGUUCUUAAAAUUGAAAUCUCUCUUAAGUUUAGGCAUGACUGUUAUUAAUUAAGAUUUGCUCUAGACCUGAACUUGUGGGAAGAGUACUCGAUCUGAAGUCUAAGUCGUUAACGGAUAUGAUAUGGGAAGGUUGAGCUGCUGUUUAUCUAUUCCUAGAGAUGCUAGAAUUCUGGAGAAUUUUAUCUUUGAAAAUCUUUAAAAUGUUGCAUGAUGAGUUCCUGUAUGAUGAGAGUUUAAAAUCCUACCACAGCCAUAUAUACAUGCUUGCUAGACUUUGAGCCACACAUUUACUUUUUACUGCUUAUGAGCAUUGAGUGUGGUCAAGCUGUGUAGACCCUUAGGAGCUUGUCAUGUGGUUAAAUCAAGAUUCACUUGCACGUUCACUCAUACAUGCUGCUUCUACUCUGGAAGUACGCAUCCACAUAUAUCCAACCAUUUCCAUCUCGAGAACCACCUAAAAAUAUUCUACUCCUAAUCCGAGAGAGAAUAACCAAAAAUAUUUCUGUUUUUCCCUGUGAAAUAAAUGCUCAAGUUAUCUUGUUACUACCACUUGCUAAAUUAUCUCAUGAGAUGAGUGCUCUAAAAAAAAAGAAAAAAAAAGAAAAAAAAGAGAAAAAAAUAUAUACGAGGAAAUAAAAAGGCGCAAGUGCCCGGAACCUCGAAGAAAAGAAAAAGUGAGACGAGAGGUAAAAAUGGAAAAGUGUCCGAUAGUAGAAUUAGGGGUACAAGAUACCCACCUGAGAGAAAAGAAAAAGAAAACAUAGAGCAUCUCAUUCUCCUCAAAAAGUUUCAAAAGUGCAAGAAAGGUAUGUAUCCCCUCAAAAGAGCAUAAGUAGAAUUAGACUUUCACCAUUGUUAUCACCAUCAUCACCAUACACCAUUCAUUCGCCACACAUGCACAUCUUGAUUUGACUUAUUGACUUGUUCUUUUGGAUCUAUGGUUUGACUAUGCAAUAAAUGUCUUGUAAGUAUGUAUUAGCUGUCUCCCACCUAUGAGCUCCAAAUAUCAAAAGCCUUAUUAGAGUAGGGUGAGAGAGAAGGCAAUGUCACUAUGCCUUAUACCACAAAUACCACAUACUUUGAGAGAAGGCAUAUACCAUUACUGCCUUGGUAAGGAUCCAGAAAUACCACAAAUGAGAGACUAGAGAGAGUCAUACAAGGAAUCUCUGAGUUUUAUUUGAAAAUCUGCAAAAACUCUAGAGCUAUAGUUAAUCGAAGAACAAGAGACAUGGCGCUUGACUAGACUGUUCUAUCUUUUAACUACUCAAGACAGAAGUGACGGUUACAAGUCCCAUGGUGAAAGGUAAAUGAGUAAGUUUUAAGUCUUAACAGUUUACUAUAACCAGCGAUGAGAUCUUGUUUAAACGCAUGUGUAUCAUUAAGUUAUGAAACCACUGCAGAAACUCUUGAGUUCAUCUUUGCUCAGGGACGAGCAAAGGUUAAGCUUGGGGGAGCUUGUUGACGGUCCUUAAUGCUCAUAUUUAACCAUCAACUAAUCAUAAAAAAGGAUCCAAAUGCAACCAACACCUAGACUUAGGGUUUUAUGUGACAGAAUUCCACAAGUUUUGGUGUUUGUCUAUUUCUGCAGGGGGUUAUCAGGAAAUACGGAAGAAAGGCCCACACGUCGGGUUUACAUAGAGAUAUUAACGUGCCGCGCAAUUUUCUAUCAUCUAGAAGACUCCAGAAGCCACGGGAACAAAGCGGAAGACGAGAGGCCUCAGGGACAGGGCGCCCGCCCUAGUCCUGAGGGCGCCCGCCCACCUGUUCUGCCCAAUCAGGGUACAACUCGGGGAUCAUGCUCCACCGACCUAAUACUUCAAGGGAAACCACACGAUCAAUGUCGGUUUGAUCCGACGGCCCAGAUUUACUUGAAGGGACUAUAAAACCAGACCCCCCCUGGCCCCUGGAGAUCAUACCUCUUCUACAGAAUCAAAGCUAGGGUUUCAAUUCUUCAUCCAAGUAGAGAGGAUCCCUCUAGUUCUUCUAGUUCUACCUCUAGUUCAUCUAGAUCUAGUUCUAGUUCAUCUAGUUCUAGUUCUAGUUCCUCUAGUUCUAGUUCUAGUUAGUUCUAGUUGUAAUCUAGAAAAUAGGGAGAGAGAAGAGGAGAGCGGAGGAGGAGCCGGAUCUGUCGGAUCUUCCUCAACAUUAUACUUUUGCAGCAUCUGGUUCGUUCUUCAUCGUUCUCCAGGUUCUUCAAUUCAUAAUUCCUGAGUUCUUUAAUUACUUUUAUUUACAUUCAAGUUAUUUAUUGGAUUCCCGCUUGCAUCAAGUGCUCUAGUCUUUAUAACGCUAGAGUAGUAAUUAAUAGAUUAGACGUGGUGUUUAGUCUUGCAAUUACCUGGAAUUGCACCCAAUCCUACGGAUUGUUGUGGUAGCCCUAGGGUAGUGACAUCCCUAACGGUCGACGUAUUCCACCAUGUUCGGAUCGGUGUUUGUAGGACCGUAGUCAGACCUUCCUAGCCCCCUUCUCAUCUCUUUCUGUGGUUAGUGCUCUGAUGUCCCGAUAUAGAUAAUCUUGAAGUAAUUCUUGAUUCUUAGAUCAACUAGAGAACUCUCAGGAAACUUCCUCUCUUCCAACCAAAAAUAAUUAUAUAGUUAUCCUUGGGCGAUCUUGGAUCUUAAUUAGUACACUCACGUUCCCUGUGGAAAAUCGAUACUCUGGAAUACUCCCGGGUGAAGGCUACAUCGGUAUCCGUGCGCUUGCGGAUUUUUCUGUUUGCGUUUAAAAUACCCAACACAUGCUUGGUCCUCCUCCAUCUUCUAUUGUUUCUAUUGUUCUUCUUCUUCGGCAUUGGUUGUUGUUCUUGCUCUUCUUGUUGAUAGAAUUCCUUUGGGGCUGCAGGAGCUUUCAAGAUGCGGUUCUUGAAUGCGAAUCUCUCCUUCUUGUCCUUGAUGGAUAGGACAAUCUUGGCGUACUCCGUAUAGAUGAUGGCUUUUGUCGUGCACAAGAAUGGUCUGCCCAAAAUGACGGGUGCCUUCUCAUCUACUCCUGUCUCUAUGACCACGAAGUCAACUGGGACAUAUGAUUGCCCCACUCUAAUGACAACUUCUUCUACUACUCCCUCAAGGUAGCAAACGGACUAAUCUGCAAGCUGCAAACACAUAUUUGUGUAUAACAAGGGAUCAUUUAAUAUUUUCUCAUAAAUUUCCUUAGGCAUGAUGUUGACACUUGCGCCAAAGUCACAGAUAGCCUCUGGAAAGCUAUGGCAUCCUAUGGAGAUAGGAAUGACAGGUCUUCCAAGGUCUCCCAUCUUCUCUGGUAGAGAGUGGUCAAUCCACUGUACAGCUGCUGGCUCAAUAUGAUAUUGGGUUGCAAUAUGAAUAUCAACAAGAUUAGUAGUUUCUAAAUCUUCUGGUUAGCCUGGAACCUUGCCUUUUUCUAAUGGAGGAACAGCAGCAGCUAAUUGAGCUAGUUGUGAUUCUAGCAUUUUAUUGAAACUAUGCUGAUUCUUUAUGGAAGAAGCAAAAGUAUCCAUCCUAGUAUGUAGUUUUCCAAAGUUUUAUCAUUUGAUGUUAGUUUCCUAGUCAUUUGAUCUAGUAGUUUAGAUUGACUAGUAACUAAUUCUCUCAAAGGUGGAAGAUUAUUAUUAAAACUAUUACCUUGGUAAUUACCUUGUCGAGGUUGUUGGUUCCAUCCUUGAUUUUGUUGAGGACGAUAGUAGGUGUUAUUGUUGAUGAAGUUCACAUCCUCUUGUAGUAUAGGGAAACUGACAGCUGAGUGACCGUAGUCUCCACAUUCUUCACAUGUCAUAUGGGAAUCAUUGAUGUGCAUGACUUCCUUCUUCUCUAUGUCGAGCUUCUUUAUGAUGAGGUCUAGCUUGGUAGUGACCAUGUCAGCUUCCUUGAGAUGAUGGAUUCCUCCUCCUUUCUUCCGAGGUUGAGUAUGUACUUCAUUGCAUGUUGAAUUUGAGGUCAUCUUCUCAACAAGUGCUUUAGCGUCCGAGAGCUUAAGUGACAGGAAAGCUCCCCCAGCUGCAGCAUCAAUAGACUCACGGGUACUAGAGAUGAGCCCGUGACAGAAAGUCUGCAUUAAUAGCCACUCCUCUAUCCCAUGAUGAGGACAGUCUUCAAUGUAAUUCUAGAAUCUUUCUCAUGCUUCAGUAAAUGAUUCAUCAUAUUGUUGUUGGAAACUUAAAAUCUUCCCACGCAGAGCAUUAGUCUUGGCUGUAGGAAAGAAUUUUGCCAGGAAAGCAGUUGAGCAAAGAUCCCAUGUAUUGUGUUUUUCUUUGUUGGUGUAGAACCACUGCUUGGCUUUCCCCAAUAAUGAGAACAGGAAAAGACAAAGUAAGAUAGCAUCCUUUGGUACUCCUAUGAUCGUGAAGGUGUUGCAAAUCUCUAGAAAGUGUUGUAAGUGUGCACUUGCAUCUUUAUGAGCUUUUCCACAGAAUUGGUUGGCUUGAACCAUGGUAAUGAGAGCAGGCUUGAGCUCGAAUCCAUUCUCCCCAGUGUUGAGUAAUGGUCCAGUCUGAAUGUUUGCUGUUGUUCGGGCAGAGAACCCUCGUAGUGUCUUCUCAGCCAUGUCUUCAAACACAGGAGCUAGAUUUCCACCUAACUGCUCUUCUGCUUGUUCUUCUAUUUGUUCUUCAAAUUCCUCUUCCAAUGUUGGAGAUGGCUCCUCUGAAAAGCUAGCUUGAGCAGCAGAGGGUGUUCUUGAUGGUUAUUCGAAUUUGUCGCUUGCUUCUACAAACUUCUUCUUUCUAAGGAGUUUCUCUGGAUCUUCAGUAAAGUUUCUUGGAAGAGCAAAACCAUUCAUUCAUCACCCUACAUAAGAUAAGAAAAUGGUAACGACGAAGAGUGUACCUGAUUGAGUAGAAAUUUAUUAGUAAUAUGACAUUAUCCAUACAUAUAUAUGUUAUCAAUAUAUCCUAAGUUUAUUGUGCUUUCCCCGGCAACGGCGCCAAAAAUGCUUGUUUACAUUUACUACCGUCAUUACUAAAAAUAGAGAUAAACCCUACCCCUAGCAACAACACCAGAAAUGCACGGUAUAUAAUUAACUUGUCAAAUAGCAACUAACCAUUCUACUAUUCCUAAGCAUAAAGUAGGUUGUCAUCCCUAAUUAUAUUGCUAGGAGUUUAAUAUAGAUUCACAUGUUCUACUGCAACUAGACAGAGAAUAAAAAAUAUGAAUAUAAUUAUAAACUAAAUGAGUUCUACAAGCGGACAGAUAAUUAUACCGUUGUAGCAUUUUACCUAGGGAAGUAUCCAGGUUGUCGAUUUAUAUUUAUACCACUAGGAAGGAUAAAUGUUAAACUAUAAUCUAUAAUAUUGAUAAGAAACUAUACAGGAUGAAUAAAUGAUAUUAUCCAAGUCAUAUAAUCUACUCAUAACAGGCAGAGGUCACAAGAUAAAUAAAGAUAAAUAAUAGUGAUAGCUUAAUCAUCAAGUAUCAUAAUUAAAGAUAAUCAUUAGAGCAUCUACUAGUCAUAAUUAUAGUUAGCCAAUGGAUAAACUAGGGAGUUGGAUCUAAGGUAAUUCUAUAACUACGCCAAUGAACAACUCUAAUUAGUGCAAUUACAUCUAGAAAUCAUCGUUAAGUCAACCCUAUAUCAUAAUUACAUGUAAAGAGUCAUGAACUAAUGAGGAUAUUAAGACACAAGGGUCACCUCCUUCACGAUCGCGCCCAUGCUUGUCCUACGUACGGAGGGUGGACUACAGAGAAUCCAAUGUAGUUGUCACCUACGCGGUCUACCACAUGUCCCGACACGUCAGGGUACACUCGUAGAUAAAUAAGAUAUUUAGACAUCAAGUCUACAUGUUGUCUAUCAUCUACCCAAUGAUCAAUUAGGUAAACACUAUAUGAGCAAUUACAUGAGUUCAAUAAGAUCAAACCCACUAUCCUAGACAUAUAAUCAAAGUAGAAAAUGACUAAUGCAAUUAAGAACAUAUGAAUCUAUUAAGAAUAAAGUCUUCCUAAUAUACAAUUGAAUACUAUAAAGUAAGAACUAGAUCUAUUACCGAACUAUUGCGCUCCAGACCGACGCCAAGGGCUCCAGAUCCCGAUAAACAACUAGAUCUUCUCUACUUCUAAUCUAACUAACUAGAACUAUAAACUAGAAGGCUCUUGAUGAACUUAAAGGCGCUUGAUGCUUGACGGCUUGAGGCCUUGAUGAAUAAUGAAGUGGUUCUCUCUAGGGGUCUACCAUGUAUUUAUAGUCCGGUGGGAUGCGUGUGCGCCGUGGGAUUGUUGACGGUCAUUAAUGCUCACAUUUAACCAUCAACUAAUCAUAGAAAAGGAUCCAAAUGCAACCAACACCUAGAAUUAGGGUUUUAUCUGACAGAAUUCCAUGAGUUUUGGUGUUUGUCUAUUUCUGAAGGGGGUUAUCAGGAAAUACGGAAGAAAGGCCCACACGUCGGGUUUACAUAGAGAUAUUAACGUGCCGCGCAAUUUUCUACCAUCUAGAAGACUCCAGAAGCCACGGGAACGAACGGGAGGCCGAUCGGGCCCGGGGGCAGGGCGCCCGCCCAAGUCCCUUGGGUGCCCGCCCAGCUACAGUAACCAAUCAGCUUCAACUUCGCGGAUCGUGCUCCACCAACCUAAGGGACCAAGGAAAACCGUGCGAUUAAUGUCGGUUUGAUCCGACGGCCUAGAUUCAUCUGAAAAGACUAUAUAAGCAAGGCCCCCUGGACCCUGGAGAGCAUACCUCUUCUACAGAAUCAAAGCUAGGAUUUCAAUUCUUCAUCCAAGUAGAGAGGAUCCCUCUAGUUCUUCUAGUUCUACCUCUAGUUCAUCUAGUUCUAGUUCUAGUUCAUCUAGCUCUAGUUCUAGUUCCUCUAGUUCUAGUUCUAGUUAGUUCUAGUUGUAAUCUAGAAAAUAGGGAGAGAGAAGAGGAGAGCGGAGGAGGAGCCGAAUCUGUCGGAUCUUCCUCACAUUAUACUUUUGCAGCAUCUGGUUCGUUCUUCAUCGUUCUCCAGGUUCUUCAAUUCAUAAUUCCUGAGUUCUUUAAUUACUUUUAUUUACAUUCAAGUUAUUUAUUGGAUUCCCGCUUGCAUCAAGUGCUCUAGUCUUUAUAACGCUAGAGUAGUAAUUAAUAGAUUAGACGUGGUGUUUAGUCUUGCAAUUACCUGGAAUUGCACCCAAUCCUACGGAUUGUUGUGGUAGCCUUAGGGUAGUGACAGCCCUAAUGGUCGACGUAUUCCACCACGUUCGGAUCGGUGUUUGUAGGACCGUAGUCAGACCUUCCUAGCCCCCUUCUCAUCUCUUUCUGUGGUUAGUGCUCUGAUGUCCCGAUAUAGAUAAUCUUGAAGUAAUUCUUGAUUCUUAGAUCAACUAGAGAACUCUCAGGAAACUUCCUCUCUUCCUACCAAAAAUAAUUAUAUAGUUAUCCUUGGGCGAUCUUGAUUCUUAAUUAGUACACUCACGUUCUCUGUGGAAAAUCGAUACUCUGGAAUACUCCCGGGUGAAAGCUACCUCGGUAUCCGUGCGCUUGCGGAUUUUUCUGUUUGCGUUUAAAAUACCCAACAAGCUUUCUGGCGUCGUUGCCGGGGAACGGUAGCUGUGCUAGUUUCGAACCAAGUCGUCCGUGUAUCCUUUUUCUUUUCCUUUUUCACCACACUCACCUUACCAUUUUCACCACACCACAUGGAUUUCACUCUAAGCAUUAAUGAGCAUGGAAUUUAUUUCAUAGCCACUUCACUUACUCCAUGCUCGUAUGCAACAUCUUCACAAUCCAUUGGUCUCUCCAACAUCACCACAUUCGAGAUGUCCAACCCCCUCAUCCUUUCUAGUUAUAAAAACUUUAAAAGGGCGGUUGUCGAUGCAUAUGUCUAUAAUAAAUUUUGCAGAUCUCGUUGAGUUGAUCUUGAUAUAGGUCAGUGUUGGAGGGGAAACCACUUCACUGACAUAAAUUAAUGGUUUCCCAAGGACAAGCUUAGUGUCCUAAAACAAGCACUGAUCAGAUCGUAACAUGAGAUUUUAAUUAUUUGCAACAUUACCUUGUGUAUUGAGCAUAUAAGGAUAAUUGUAAAAAAUUCCUUCGGGUAUUCUUGUCACUAACCUUUCCAGGAUUGGAGCAAGAAGAUCGGAUGAAUGACAAGCACAAGAUAUGUCCAACCAAUCAUCAUACAACAUUGAAUUAAACUCAUCCAAACUUGAAUUUUGCAAAAUUCAAGCUUGGGGGAGUACUUUACAUAAAAACAUCCUUUGCCAUGUUGCUAUGAUGGUUGUCCCUACCUUUGAGACAUGCUCAAUUUGUUAAAUACUAAUCACACUACUUCAUCUCCACUUGAGUAGAUCUCUAUAAAUGCUCUCAUGCUACCUUUAUUUCUUUAGCAUAUGUCUAGGUUUGGCGUAGUUUCAUUUAUCUCUUAAUUAAGCAUGGUGCUUAGUUUAGGAAUGAUGAUCUUACUUCCAAGGGAGUUUAAAUUAAGCAUGAUGCUUAGGUUAAAAUGCCCUCCUAAAUCAAAUUAGACAUGGUGUCUAGGUUGAUUUUUGAGCCGAUAGUAUGCUAUAGCAGAUAUGGGAUAUUUUGUUGGACUAACCCCUGCAGAAAAACUUUCAAUAUCAACCUGGGAGGUCCUGAGAUAAACUCACAUUAGAGACAAAGAGAGACACACAUGAAGUUUAACAAUUUACACAAGGAAGGCAUAGCUCACAAGAGAUGAUCCAUGGAGGGUGCCACAAACACAAUGCACAACCGCUAAGAGAGGAAAGCUUCCACAAGGUGAUACUGUACCAUCACUCUUCAAGUAAGGUAACAUCUUAAAGUACUUGACUAUCAGUUCUAUAAGAUUCUCCUUGGUUCUGGCGUUCACAUGAAUAAAAGAGACAAACAUCUAUGAUUUACAACUCUAGAUUAACCAACCCAAUCGAUUCAAUAUGUUUAGUCCUUCCACCUUUGUGAUCCCGCACUCCUAAUCAUAUGAACUAAAAUGUCACACACGCAUUCUUUGGAAGAUAUAUAAAAAAAGAUAAGUAUAGAUAGAUUAUCUUUCCAUUAGGUUGAGCCAUCUGAUCUGACAAAUGCUUUAAAUGCCACACUCAUGAUCUUAUUAUCCAUCAACUUUGUCUUGCUCACUAUGCUUAAGGUUAGAGAAGAACAAAUACACUUUUGGUUCUGUUGGUGUUUUCCACCAACAGGGCCCAUGCACUUGAUCUCUGCCUUGUCUCUAUGAGCAGGUACACUUCGAGCAAAAUAUGAAGGAGUUUUACAACUUCCAGACUGCACCAAGUGAAGAACCUAGAUAUACGAGCACAAACACACUAGAGAUACUGGACACUCAUGCAAUCACUGUCCUGAGAUGCUGGAGGACGUAACUACCGGAGUAACCCCGUUGUGGAAGUAAUUACUGACCUUCUGUCGGUCAAGAGAGGCGAUCCAGGACGCCCCGUCAUCCCGAUCUCCAUCGACAUGGAGGACUUCCUAGAAGCACUCUACGACUUUGGCUCCAGCGUCAACAUUAUGCUCACGGUACUCUAUGAAAAAUUCUUUACACAUCCUUUACUAGAAACAACCGUGUGUUUGAAGCUUGCAGAUCAGACACUAAGUUUCCAAAAGGGAAUAUUGAAGAACCUCUACGUCCGAGUUGGUACCUUAUACACUCUAGCAGACUUCGUGGUGAUAGAGACUGGUACUGAUGAGAGGGCACCCAUCAUCCUAGGGAGGCCAUUCCUGAACACCUCGGGAGCUGUCAUCUACGCUAGUGCUGCCAAGAUCAGUUUCUACAUCAAGGGAAGGAAGGAGACGUUUUCCUUCAAGAACAAGACUACACAAAUCUCAAAGCAAUCGUGACAUGAACCAAGGAAAGGACCAACAGGAGGAACAGGAACAAGCAAAUGUGGACCGAGUCAGCUAAGAUGGUCACUGCUGUUCAAGGAGGUCAAGAUCGUCAACUCAAGUCGCCUUUGUUGAUCAAGAAGGAUGACCAUGGUGUUCCAAGCAUCGAGUGCACAAUCAACAGAUAUUUUUUCAUAAGACACUCUACGACACCGGAUCUGACGUCCACAUAAUGGCCGCAGUCACUUAUCAGCUCUUGCAUGAAACCAUGCCCCUACAACCGACAUACAUUCAGCUCCAGAUGGCAGAUCAGACAUUCCGUCAGGUUAUUGUCAUGGGAGAAGACGAGUACAAUCCACCCGUCAUCCUUGGAAGACCAUUCCUCAGCACCGUUAAAGCAAUCAUAUACAUUGGAACCAGAGAAGUCCACAUGAACUUCCCCUCUGAGAAGGUACGCCGCUAUUUUACUGACCCUAACUAUAUAGUUGAAGACUCUAAGCAGGUCAGGACAAGAAGAAGACGACGCAACCGCAACCAGAGGAGGCAAAUCAUCAAGGAUGGAUGAGCAGACUCCGAAGGAGAAGUAGUAAGGUCUGAAGACAUAUAGCUUGAUCAGAAUUGUCCUGAGGAGACCGUAGCACCGAGUCAGGUGUGGAGAGAGAAGAUAGUUAUACAUGAAGAGCAGGCGCCGCCGGAACCACCGACUACGCCAUCCAGCGAAUCCCAGGACGACUGAGAAAACAGAGAGUCCCGUUCGGAGGACUUAAAAAAACCGAACGCCUUGCCAAGAGGUAAACUUGGUAGUUAUCUUUUUCCUUUCAAUUAUUUUAAAAUAGUUUGCUUAGUUAAUCAGGUUCAUAUCAUCUUGAAAAGAAAAUAAAAAUGUUAAAAAUAGUAAGUCCCAUGUGAGUAUGCUCAUGGCAUAAAACCCAUAAGUACAUUCACUGUGGUGGCAUAAAAAUAAAAUAAAUAUAUUCCUGUCCUAUAAAAAUAAAAUUAUAAAAAUAAAUUUAUGAUCCUACUAAAGAGUGUAACAUUUAUUGAGGAGGCUCAACAUGAUAAAGGCUAGAUAUUUAUGCUAACACUUAACUAGUUCCACAAAGCUUUAUUGUCUAUUUAAGCUCCACAGCAUUCAAGGAUCAAAGAAGACUAGCAGACGGAGGACAUCCUAAUCGCUGCGAGGGUGCUCUCGACAUUCAAAUACACCUCCGCCACCUGCUAGCUACAUCAAGAGAAAUUAUGUCGAAAACCAGCUUGGGGGAGAGCACCCCUAUUUAUCCAGCUAAGUAUUCUACUCACGUUUAUACUUUACUCAAAUAAUAAAAAGAUGCAUAAUCAUAAAAACCCAAAUAAAGAUUUUGUGCUUAUAUAUCUUUGCUUAGUUUGCUAAAUAAAUGAAUAAAUAAAGUUUGUUAUGAACCCUCAUGAUAAGCUCUCACAUGAAAAUGAUGAAUAGUUGCUCUGCCAUGACUAGUUCUCAAAAUUGAAAUCUCUCUCAAGUUUAGGCAUGACUGUUAUUAAUUAAGAUUUGCUCUAAACCUAACUUGUGGGAAGAGUACUUGAUCUAAAGUCUAAGUCGUUAACGGAUAUGAUAUGGGAAGGUUGAGUUGUUGUUUAUCUGUUCCUAGAGAUGCUAGAAUUCUAGAGAAUUUUAUCUUUGAAAAUCUUUAAAAUGUUGCAUGAUGAGUUCCUGUAUGAUGAGAGUUUAAAUUCCUACCACAGCCAUAUAUACAUGCUUGCUAGACUUUGAGCCACACAUUUACAUUUUACUGCUUAUGAGCAUUGAGUGUGGUCAAGCUGUGUAGACCCUUAGGAUCUUGUCAUGUGGUUAAAUCAAGAUUCACUUGCACGUUCACUCAUACAUGCUGCUUCUACCUGGAAGUACGCAUCCACAUAUAUCCACCCAUCACCCAUACAUGCUGCUUCUACCCAGAAGUACGCAUCCACAUAUAUCCACCCAUUUCCAUCUCCAGAAUCACCUAAAAAUAUUCUACUCCUAAUCCGGGAGAGAAUAGCCAAAAACAUUUCUGUUUUCAGCUGUGAAAUAAAUGCUCAAGUUAUCUUGGUUACGACCACUUGCUACAUUAUUUCAACAGAUGAGUGCUCUAAAAAAAGAAAAAAAAGAUACGAGGAAAUAAAAAGGGGCAAGUGCCCGGAACCUCGAAAGAAAAGAAAAAAGUGAGACGAGAGGUAAAAAUGGAUAAGUGUCCGACAGUAGAAUUAGGGGUACAAGAUACCCACCUAAGAGGAAAGAAAAAGAAAAUAUAGAGCAUCUCAUUCUCCUCAAAAAGUUUCAAAAGUGCAAGAAAGGUAUGUAUCCCCUCAAAAGAGCACAAGUAGAAUUAGACUUUCACCAUUGUUAUCACCAUACAUCAUUCAUUCUCCACACAUGCACAUCUUGAUUUAACUUAUUGACUUGUUCUUCUGGAUCCAUGGUUUGACUAUGCAAUAAAUGUCUUGUAAGUAUGUAUUAGCUGUCUCCCACCUAUAAGCUCCAGAUAUCAAAACCUUAUUAGAGUAGGGUGAGAGAGAAGGCAUUGCCACUAUGCCUCAUACCAAAAAUACCACAUACUUUGAGAGAAGGCAUACACCAUUACUGCCUUGGUAAGGAUCCAGAAAUACCACAAAAGAGAGACUAGAGAGAGUCAUACAAGGAAUCUCUGAGUUUUAUUUGAAAAACUGCAAAAACUCCAGAGCUAUAGUUAAUCGAAGAACAUGAGACAUGGCGCUUGACUAGACCAUUCUAUCUUGUAACUACUCAAGACACAAGUGACGGUUGCAAGCCCCAUGGUGGAAGGUAAAAUGAGUAAGUUUAAAUCUUAACAGUUUACCCAAACCUAGAGAUGAGAUCUUAUUUGAACGCAUGUGUAUCUUUAAGGCGUGAAACCACUGCAGAAACUCUUGAGUCCAUCUUUGCUCAGGGACGAGCAAAGGUUAAGCUUGGGGGAGCUUGUUGACGGUCCUUAAUGCUCACAUUUAACCAUCAACUAAUCAUAGAAAAGGAUCCAAAUGCAACCAACACCUAGACUUAGGGUUUUAUCUGACAGAAUUCCAUGAGUUUUGGUGUUUGUCUAUUUCUGCAGGGGGUUAUCAAGAAAUACGGAGGAAAGGCCCACACGUCGGGUUUACAUAGAGAUAUUAAUGUGCCGCGCAAUUUUCUACCAUCUAGAAGACUCCAGAAGCCACGGGAACGAACGGGAGGCCGAUCGGGCCCGGGGGCAGGGUGCCCGCCCAAGUCCCUUGGGUGCCCGCCCAGCUACAGUAACCAAUCAGCUUCAACUUCGCGGAUCGUGCUCCACCGACCUAAGGGACCAUGGAAAACCGUGCGAUUAAUGUCGGUUUGAUCCGAUGACAUAGAUUCAUCUGAAAAGACUAUAUAAGCAAGGCCCCUGGCCCCUGGAGAGCAUACCUCUUCUACAGAAUCAAAGCUAGGGUUUCAAUUCUUCAUCCAAGUAGAGAGCAUCCCUCUAGUUCUUCUAGUUCUACCUCUAGUUCAUCUAGUUCUAGUUCUAGUUCAUCUAGCUCUAGUUCUAGUUCCUCUAGUUCUAGUUCUAGUUAGUUCUAGUUGUAAUCUAGAAAAUAGGGAGAGAGAAGAGGAGAGCGGAGGAGGAGCCGAAUCUGUCAGAUCUUCCUCACUUUAUACUUUUGCAGCAUCUGGUUCGUUCUUCAUCGUUCUCCAGGUUCUUCAAUUUAUAAUUCCUGAGUUCUUUAAUUACUUUUAUUUACAUUCAAGUUAUUUAUUGGAUUCCCGCUUGCAUCAAGUGCUCUAGUCUUUAUAACGCUAGAGUAGUAAUUAAUAGAUUAGACGUGGUGUUUAGUCUUGCAAUUAUCUGGAAUUGCACCCAAUCCUACGGAUUGUUGUGGUAGCCUUAGGGUAGUGACAUCCCUAACGGUCGACAUAUUCCACCACGUUCGGAUCGGUGUUUGUAGGACCGUAGUCAGACCUUCCUAGCCCCCUUCUCAUCUCUUUCUGUGGUUAGUGCUCUGAUGUCCCGAUAUAGAUAAUCUUGAAGUAAUUCUUGAUUCUUAGAUCAACUAGAGAACUCUCAGGAAACUUCCUCUCUUCCUACCAAAAAUAAUUAUAUAGUUAUCCUUGGGCGAUCUUGAUUCUUAAUUAGUAUACUCACGUUCUCUGUGGAAAAUCGAUACUCUGGAAUACUCCCGGAUGAAAGCUACAUCGGUAUCCGUGCGCUUGCGAAUUUUUCUAUUUGCGUUUAAAAUACCCAACAGGGAUCAAACCGACUUAACCAAGGGCCG